rnacentral:rRNA from 1 species
GUAACGCGUGAGUAACCUGCCUUUCANAGGGGGAGUAACGUUCUGAAAAGAACGCUAAUACCGCAUGAGACUACAGAGCUGCAUGGCUCAGUGGUCAAAGGAGCAAUCCGCUGAAAGAUGGACUCGCGUCCGAUUAGAUAGUAGGCGGGGUAACGGCCCACCUAGUCGACGAUCGGUAGCCGGACUGAGAGGUUGAACGGCCACAUUGGGACUGAGACACGGCCCAGACUCCUACGGGAGGCAGCAUG